rnacentral:ncRNA from 1 species
UAAGAUGGGGCCUGAAAACCCCCGCAAGCACAAAAGCUUGGUCCUGACUUUUUUAUCAGCUUUUACUAAACUUACACAUGCAAGUCUCCGCAGACCUGUGAGAAUGCCCUUAACGUCCUUUCUCGGACACUAGGAGCCGGUAUCAGGCACACACCGUAUGAUGCCCAAGACGCCUUGCUUAGCCACGCCCCCAAGGGACUUCAGCAGUGAUUAACCUUAAACUAUAGGCGUAAGCCUGAAUUAGUGAAAGUAAAGAGGGCCGGCCAAACUCGUGCCAGCCGCCGCGGUUAUACGAGAGGCCCAAGUCGAUAAAACCCGGCGUAAAGGGUGGUUAAGGAUUUUGAUGACUAGAGAAGAACGCUCUUCAAGCUGUUAUACGCCCCCAAGAGUAUGAACCCCUACCACGAAAGAAGCUCUAUUUUGCCUGAACCCACGACAGCUUUGGUACAAACUGGGAUUAGAUACCCCACUAUGCCUAGCCGUAAACUUUGAUAACUAAAUACAACACACAUCCGCCCGGGUACUACGAGCAGCAGCUUAAAACCCAAAGGACUUGGCGGUGCUUCAGACCCCCCUAGAGGAGCCUGUUCUAGAACCGAUAAUCCCCGUUUAACCUCACCGCCCCUUGCCCCUUCCCGCCUAUAUACCGCCGUCGUCAGCUUACCCUUUGAAGGUAAUAAAAGUAAGCACAACAGUCACAAACAAAUACGUCAGGUCGAGGUGUAGCGCAUGGGACGGGAAGAAAUGGGCUACAUUCUCUACCAGCAGAGAACACGGACGAGGAAAUGAAAUUUUCCCCCAAAGGUGGAUUUAGCAGUAAGUUAAAACAGUACAUUUAGCUGAAACUGGCUCUGAAGCGCGCACACACCGCCCGUCACUCUCCCCAACAACUCGACGAACUUCAUAAGAAAUUUGAAAACCAAGGGGAGGCAAGUCGUAACACGGUAAGUGUACCGGAAGGUGCACUUGGACAAU